GCCGAAAUUAUGCCAAAGAAUGUUUCUGGAGUCCAUACUGCCCAGAAGAAAUCCUUGGAAAAGUUUAACCUUUGGCUGUUGAAAGUCCAACCUUCGGUUGCUGAAGUUUAUAUUGCCCAAGAUAAAACCUUAUAUUUGACUUACUAGCCUCACACUUGGCACAUAAAACACAUACGUCGCUUCUACUGUUCGUGAAACCCUAAGUUUCACCGGAAUUUCCCAUUAACAAUAGGAAUUUCGACAUCAGAAAAUGGU
rnacentral:misc_RNA from 1 species